UGCAAGUCGAGCGCGAAAGACCUUCGGGUUGAGUAAAGCGGCGAACGGGUGAGUAAAGCGUGAGAAUCUACCCUUCAGUGAAGGAUACCUUCGAGAAAUCGGAGUUAAUACUGCAUUCGUCCCUACGGGGAGAAAGAUGGCCUCUUUGCUGUCGCUGAUUGAUGAGCUUACGUACUAUUAGCUAGUUGGUAGGGUAAAGGCCUACCAAGGCGAUGAUGGUUAGCCGGCCUGAGAGGGUGUACGGCCACACUGGAACUUAGACACGGUCCAGACUCCUACGGGAGGCAGCAGUGAGGAAUCUUGCACAAUGGGCGAAAGCCUGAUGCAGCGACGCCGCGUGGAGGAUGAAGGUCUUCGGAUUGUAAACUUCUGUUAAGUGGGAAGAAAGACGCAAUUCUAAUAAAGUUGCGGGAUGACGGUACCAUUAGAGAAAGCACCGGCUAACUUCGUGCCAGCAGCCGCGGUAAUACGAAGGGUGCGAGCGUUAUUCGGAAUGAUUGGGGCGUAAAGGGUGCGCAGACGGUUUGUUUAAGUCAG
rnacentral:rRNA from 1 species